rnacentral:rRNA from 1 species
CUCAGGAUGAACGCUAGCGACAGGCUUAACACAUGCAAGUCGAGGGGCAGCAUAAAAGUAGCAAUACUUGGUGGCGACCGGCGCACGGGUGAGUAACGCGUAUGCAACCUACCUAUCGAGAGGGGGAUAACCCGGCGAAAGUCGGACUAAUACCGCAUAAAACAGGGGGCACCGCAUGGUGAUAUUUGUUAAAAAUUUAUUGCUGAUAGAUGGGCAUGCGUUCCAUUAGGUAGUUGGAGAGGUAACGGCUCACCAAGCCUACGAUGGAUAGGGGAACUGAGAGGUUGGUCCCCCACACUGGUACUGAGACACGGACCAGACUCCUACGGGAGGCAGCAGUGAGGAAUAUUGGUCAAUGGGCGAGAGCCUGAACCAGCCAAGUCGCGUGAAGGGAAAAGAAGGAUCUAUGGUUCGUAAACUUCUUUUGCAGGGGAAUAAAGUGCAGGACGUGUCCUGUUUUGUAUGUACCCUGAGAAUAAGGAUCGGCUAACUCCGUGCCAGCAGCUGC